CAGUCGCAUCUGUUGGGAUUCAGCCUGGCUUCUGCCUGGUGUACUUCUCAGUAAAUGGGCCAGCAUCAAUUUCGGGCGCCGGAAAAGGAUUUGAGGAAUGUGACAGCUUGCUGUGUUAUAGCCUCUUGUCGUACACGGUGCUUGGGAUUGAGGACUGCAGCACGCCUUUUGGUCGGGGUUCUCCCACGCCCACGUGCUUAGGAUGCUGGCGUAAUGGCUUUAAACGACCGUCUCGAAACACGGACCAAGGAGUCUAACAUAUGUGCGAGUGUU
rnacentral:rRNA from 1 species